CAACCUUACACCAUAGGCGAUAGAAUUCCCGACCGCCGAAGGAUAUCAAGGGUAUUUGGAAGACAGGAACGUAUUGCACGGUGCCUAUAAUUUUAGUGGGAUUCAUAAUUAUGCUUAUUCCGCAUGACCACGCCCUCCAUUUUGUGGAACAUAGAGGAUAAACUAGGGAUGGUCUUCCUCCGGCCAUAGCCUCUGGCCUCACCUAUCAUCACGAUUCGAGAGUAGUUAUUAAGAACAUGAAAGUUGAAUUUGUUAGCUCAGUCUCUCACGAAUCCUCCUGAAUUAAGCAAAAUAGUGGAAACCCCCGUCCGAUUUCCGAUAAAAACACGUUUUGGCCUAAAUCCAACAAACUUUCUUUUGUACAAACCCCUCAUUUCCAUGGAAAAACCAGAGGCCAGAAACUAAGAAACCUCCCGUGACAACAGAACGGAGGAGACCGAGCCAGCAACUCAAGAAAAACUGUGACAAAGCACGCGACUUGUCUCACCACUUGAAAAAAACAUCACUCAAGACACUUUAUCGUGCAAUGUUUUUUGGCAUCCGAGUCCCUGCGCAAUUUCCGGAGCUACCCUGUACCACAAUAUUGAUCGGCCCCAAAUGUUGUUUGCAUUAGUAACAUUUUUACCAUGUCGCUGCGCUGCAGACGCGAAAUUAAUAACUUCUAAUACGAAUUGUUGAAGUCUAGUAGCCAACAUAUUAUUGAGGAAAGGAGUGCUAACAAGGAUGAUGAGAAUAUAGUUUAGAAAAUAAAAUCUUUGAUUUACUUUGAGGGAUAAACUAAGUUUGUACUUUCCCAUAUUUUGAUUAACAGAUAAGAGUAAAACAAAAACAAAACAAAACAAAAAUUGCACGUAUACCUUACGCUCUGGAUACGAUGAAUAUUCUGAUAAAAUUAAAACUGCUUUACAAAGUUUUUGCUGGUUCAAUGUCACGCAACGUGAUCUACUCCGCUUCUUCGAAUGCACUUUGGAGGAAGAUUGAUGUGAUGCAAUUCUCGGGUGCCUUCAUAAGAAAACGAAUCUACUGCAUUGAUACACAUUUACCUCUGAAAGUUGCAUGUCGGAUUGAAGUUUUGUCCAGCCAAAUCUGAGAAUUUAAAUAUAUUGGCAGUCAUGGCGUACCCAAGAAAGUGUAUGACAAAAUUCACUACAUCCGCCACAUGUUGACACUCGGGUGACGACUACUCAAGGAAUGACCAAAAAAGCAACUGUACACGAAAACUGAUUUCUCCCCAACUCUGCACGUGAUGGUCUCUUUGCCCAAACAUAUGCUCGUUGCUCCUGUUCCUCUUCACCCCUACAUUCCUUACCUGCACUUGCUCGCAAGUCACUUUUGUUAUUGCUUUUCGACUCGUGUACAAAACGGCAGCUUUUAAGCAGGCGCAGUUGUCGAGAAAGAUUGCAGACAACAGCUCCAUUUCCUCAUUUGCGACAAGAUUUGAGUGCGGUGCAGCCACCGCUAACAUCCAGAUGUUUUCGCUCUAUUCUUAGACAUUUGCGGAACGAGUAAAUGGUGAAGUUGUGCUUCCGUUUCUUAUGUCAACAGCCUAUGGUUACCGGAUGUAUGGUGUUGCUAAUGGCAACGUCAGCAGAUAACCAUGUUUAUUCUAUAAUAUUGUACAGCUAUUAAAAACCAAACCAGCAACUGAAAGCUCUUCAGCUACCAAUAACAAUUAUUUGGGUCCAAGCAUAUCCUCAGGUUUAACCCAUUCAUUGAACUGCUCCUCCGUCAAAUAACCAAGCUUGAUGGCAGUUUCCUUCAGCGUGGAGCCUUCUUUAUGGGCUGUCUUGGCUAUCUUAGCAGCCUGUUGGACAGAACACAAUAUAAAUCAAUAAUUAUCAAUGAAGCUGUAUCAGCCGAAAUAUAACCUUGUCGUAACCGA